AACGCACAUCGAACAAAUAUAGGCGCCGAUACUUCGGGGUAUACGACGAAUAGCGCGGCGCGUCGUUCCGUCAGGAUGUCGAGACGAUUUACGAAAUCGUCUUUUUACGUAACGAAAGCUUCCGAAGCAGAAGACGCCGGCAACAUCUCAAACUACGAUGACGGAUAGGAAAAAGUGAGAGCGCUCGGAUCGACGUACCGGAAUAACCAGAAUAAUUGGCAGCCGGUACACGAACAGCCACCAACGCGACUCCACGCUUCGCAAUGCGCUCGCUUCAAGGUCGAAUCCAUCUUGCCAACCCUAUACGUCUAUUAUUCAAUUUACGCCGGCCCUUUCGACGUUCCCAAUUGAUAAUGAAAAGAUGAAUUGAUUUAAGACAAUACACGUGAUAGAAAUCAGGCAGCCUUAACGGAUAAUGUAAUGUUAGAAUUUUUUAAAUAUUCAGGUAAGGAUAAUGACGCCGAAAUGAAAUAAAUGAAAAGAAAUAAUACUACAAUAAAUAAUCUUUUAAUUAAUAAUGGAAAUAGUGGUAAGAUGAAAUAAAUGAAACGGAAAGAUCUAUUGUAGGGUC